GACGAACGCUGGCGGCGUGCUUAACACAUGCAAGUCGAACGGAAAGGCCCUGCUUUUGUGGGGUGCUCGAGUGGCGAACGGGUGAGUAACACGUGAGUAACCUGCCCUUGACUUUGAGAUAACUUCAGGAAACUGGGGCUAAUACCGGAUAGGAGCUCCUGCUGCAUGGUGGGGGUUGGAAAGUUUCGGCGGUUGGGGAUGGACUCGCGGCUUAUCAGCUUGUUGGUGGGGUAGUGGCUUACCAAGGCUUUGACGGGUAGCCGGCCUGAGAGGGUGACCGGCCACAUUGGAACUGAGAUACGGCCCAGACUCCUACGGGAGGCAGCAGUGGGGAAUAUUGCACAAUGGGCGGAAGCCUGAUGCAGCAACGCCGCGUGCGGGAUGACGGCCUUCGGGUUGUAAACCGCUUUCGCCUGUGACGAAGCGUGAGUGACGGUAAUGGGUAAAGAAGCACCGGCUAACUACGUG
rnacentral:rRNA from 1 species